rnacentral:tRNA from 1 species
GCCUUCGUGGUGCAACGGUUAGCGCACUCGACGCGCAUUCGAGAGGUCCAGGUUCGAAUCCCGCCGAGAGCA